rnacentral:lncRNA from 1 species
GAAUCGCUUGAACCUGGAAGGCAGAGGUUUCAGUGAGCUGAGAUCGCACCAUUGCACUCCAGCCUGGGGGACAAAGCGAGACUCCGUCUCAAAAAAAAAAAAAAGAAAAGAAGAAAGAAAGUCAAGCCCCCUUAGAUUAAGUCAUUCCUUUAUUGAGUCCCUACAGAAUGUUCUUGGGUCUGUCACCUUCUAGCUGUGCAGCUU